rnacentral:rRNA from 1 species
CCUACGGGGCGCAGCAGUGGGGAAUAUUGCACAAUGGACGAGAGUCUGAACCAGCCAAGUAGCGUGAAGGAUGACUGCCCUAUGGGUUGUAAACUUCUUUUAUAUGGGAAUAAAAUGUUCCACGUGUGGGAUUUUGUAUGUACCAUAUGAAUAAGGAUCGGCUAACUCCGUGCCAGCAGCCGCGGUAAUACGGAGGAUCCGAGCGUUAUCCGGAUUUAUUGGGUUUAAAGGGAGCGUAGGUGGAUUGUUAAGUCAGUUGUGAAAGUUUGCGGCUCAACCGUAAAAUUGCAGUUGAAACUGGCAGUCUUGAGUACAGUAGAGGUGGGCGGAAUUCGUGGUGUAGCGGUGAAAUGCUUAGAUAUCACGAAGAACUCCGAUUGCGAAGGCAGUUCACUGGACUGCAACUGACACUGAGGCUCGAAAGUGUGGGUAUCAAACAGGAUUAGAUACCCGGGUAGUC